rnacentral:tRNA from 1 species
UACAGCUAGCUCAGUUGGCAGAGCACCAGACUACGGAUCUGGCAGUCGAAGGUUCGAGUCCUUCGCUUUAACCA